AAACCUACUAAGUGAUAACUUUCAAAUUCAGGGAAACCCUGGAAUAAAAAAUGGGCAAUCCUGAGCCAAAUCCUGUUUUCCGAAAACCAGAAAACGCUAAUAAAAAAAGGAUAGGUGCAGAGACUCAAUGGAAGCUGUUCUAACAAAAACAAAUGGAGUUGACUAUGUUACGAUGUUAAACGAAUCCUUCCAUCAAAACUCCAGAACCCGAAAGGAUGAAGGAUAAACCUAUAUACACAGGUACUGAAAUAUUAUAUCAAAUGAUUAAUGAUGGCUCGAAUCUCUAUUUUUUUAUAUGAAAAAUGAAAGAAUUGUUGUAAAUCGAUUCCAAGUUGAAGAAAGAAAAGAAUCGAAUAUUCAUUGAUCAAAUCAUUCACUCCAUAGUCCGAUAGAUCAUUUGAAGAACUGAUUAAUCGGACGAGAAUAAAGAGAGAGUCCCAUUCUACAUGUCAAUAUCGACAGCAAUGAAAUUUAUAGUAAGAGGAAAAUCCGUCGACUUUAAAAAUCGUGAGGGUUCAAGUCCCUCUAUCCCCAAAAAAGCCUACUUGACUCCCUAACUAUUUAUCCUCUCUUUUCAUUAUCGGUUCAAAAUUCGUUGUGGUUAUCAUUCACUCUACUCGUUCACAAAGGGAUCCGCGAAGAAUUUUUUUCUCUUAUCGCAAGUCUUGUGGUAUAUAUAUAUAUAUAUAUAUAUAUAUGAUACGCGUACAAACAAACAUCUUUGUGCAAGGAAUGGAAUCCCCGUUUGAAUGAUUCACAGUACAUAUCA
rnacentral:misc_RNA from 1 species